rnacentral:rRNA from 1 species
AAUAUUUGACCAUGGGGGCAACCCUGAUACAGCCAUCCCGCGUGUGUGAAGAAGGUCUUCGGAUUUUAAAGCCCUUUAUGUUGGGAGGAAGGGCAUUAGGUUAAUACUCUUGAGUGUUGACGUUACCUACAGAAUAACCACCUGCUAACUCUCUGCCAGCAGCCGCGGUAAUACAGAGGGUGCAAGCGUUAAUCGGAAUUACUGGGCGUAAAGCGCGCGUAGGUGGUUCAGUAAGAUGGGUGUGAAAUCCCCGGGCUUAACCUGGGAACUGCUUUCAUAACUGCUGAGCUAGAGUACGGUAGAGGGUAGUGGAAUUUCCUGUGUAGCGGUGAAAUGCGUAGAUAUAGGAAGGAACACCAGUGGCGAAGGCGACUACCUGGACUGAUACUGACACUGAGGUGCGAAAGCGUGGGGAGCAAAC